rnacentral:misc_RNA from 1 species
GACGGAGGGCGCAAGCGUUGUUCGGAAUUACUGGGCGUAAAGCGCGGGCAGGCGGCCUGUUAAGUCUGCUGUGAAAUCCCGGGGCUCAACCCCGGACAUGCAGCGGAUACUGGCAGACUGGAGACCGGUAGAGGCUAGUGGAAUUCCUGGUGUAGCGGUGGAAUGCGUAGAUAUCAGGAAGAACACCUGUGGCGAAGGCGGCUAGCUGGGCCGGUUCUGACGCUGAUGCGCGAAAACGUGGGUAGCAAACAGG